ACCGCGCCGGCUCCUUUCCCCUAGCUGAGGAGGUACCUGAAACCAAAACUGAAAACUGUAAGCACAAAGCUUAGUGAGUUCCCCCAUAAUACCCCAUACCAUGCAUACAUAUAACAACCAAUGUUCAGCUAGGAGUUACGGGCCUUGCCCACACUCGGGAAGAUACGGGCUCUGCCCACACUUCGCUAGCCGGGAGAUACGGGCCUCGCCCACACUUGUGAAGAUACGGGCCCUGCCCACACUUCGCUAUCUGGGAGAUACGGGUCUAGCCCACACUCCAACCUCGGAGAGAUACGGGCCCUGCCCACACUCAACCGCUAACCCAUAACAUACAAGUAUCACGCAGACAACAA
rnacentral:lncRNA from 1 species